rnacentral:rRNA from 1 species
AACGAACGCUGGCGGCAUGCCUAACACAUGCAAGUCGAACGAGACCUUCGGGUCUAGUGGCGCACGGGUGCGUAACGCGGGGGAACCUGCCCUUAGGUUCGGUAUACCUCCCCGAAAGGGGUGCUAAUACCGGAUAAUGUCUUCGGACCAAAGAUUUAUCGCCUUUGGAUGGGCCCGCGUUGGAUUAGCCAGUUGGUAGGGUAAAAGCCUACCAAGGCGACGAUCCAUAGCUGGUCUGAGAGGAUGAUCAGCCACACUGGGACUGAGACACGGCCCAGACUCCUACGGGAGGCAGCAGUGGGGAAUAUUGGACAAUGGGCGAAAGCCUGAUCCAGCAAUGCCGCGUGAGUGAUGAAGGCCGUAGGGUUGUAAAGCUCUUUUACCCGGGAUGAUAAUGACAGUACCGGGAGAAUAAGCUCCGGCUAACUCCGUG